CUCAUCCCCCGCUGACGUCAGCCGGCGGAGAGACCUAAUGUGCAUGCACGGCCAUUGACUGCGCUUGUUUUAGGAUGUCCCCAUAGCAAAGCAUUAGGUCCAUUUCAAUUCCAGAAAUCCCUCUAGUGGCUGUCUGGUAGACAGCCACUAGAGGAGGAGUUAGCCCUCAGAGGUAAUUAUUGCAGUUUCUCAGUACCACUUCAAUGAGCUGAAGUGGUCUGGGUGCCUUCAGUGUCUUUUUAAUUUUUUUUUUUUAUUUUUUUUUAACUGG